AAAUGGAGACAAUCGCUAUAGUUUUAGAUUAUAGAGGAAAGUCCAUGCUCUUACAUACUGUGAUGUAUGUAGUGUUUGUGCUAGAUGAAAAAAUAAAUCUAGGCAGUUAUUAACUGAUGGCUGAGUUGAUUCCUAAGUUAUUUUAAUAUGGAUAAAACCUGUAAAAGUGUCACAGUGACGAAGCUAGAUAGGAAACUUUCUAGGUGGAACGAGAUAAACCCCGCAAAAGAGCAACCCAAAUUAUGGUAGGGGCACUUGAGUUGACUAAAUGAAGUUAAACUUGAGAUGUAGCAAUACAUAGAUAAAUGAUUGUCACUCUAAAUAUAUAGAGAACAGAACAUGGCUUAUGAUA
rnacentral:RNase_P_RNA from 1 species